CAGCCGCCGCGGGAAUACGAAGGGUGCAAGCGUUAAUCGGAAUUACUGGGCGUAAAGCGUGCGUAGGCGGUUUGUUAAGUCUGUUGUGAAAUCCCCGGGCUCAACCUGGGAAUGGCAAUGGAUACUGGCAAGCUAGAGUGUGUCAGAGGAUGGUGGAAUUCCCGGUGUAGCGGUGAAAUGCGUAGAGAUCGGGAGGAACAUCAGUGGCGAAGGCGGCCAUCUGGGACAACACUGACGCUGAGGCACGAAAGCGUGGGGGGCAAACAGGAUUAGAUACCCCAGUAGUCCCUGUCUCUUAUAA
rnacentral:rRNA from 1 species